rnacentral:rRNA from 1 species
AUUGAACGCUGGCGGCAGGCCUAACACAUGCAAGUCGAGCGGAUGAGGAAAGCUUGCUUUUCGAUUCAGCGGCGGACGGGUGAGUAAUGCCUAGGAAUCUGCCUGUUAGUGGGGGAUAACUCGGGGAAACUCGGGCUAAUACCGCAUACGUCCUACGGGAGAAAGUGGGGGAUCUUCGGACCUCACGCUAACAGAUGAGCCUAGGUCGGAUUAGCUAGUAGGUGAGGUAAUGGCUCACCUAGGCGACGAUCCGUAACUGGUCUGAGGGGAUGAUCAGUCACACGUGAACUGAGACACGUGCCAAACGCCUACGGGCGGCAGCAGGUGUGAAUAUUUGACAAUGGGCGUAAGCCUGAUCCAGCCAUGCCGCGUGUGUGAAGAAGGUCUUCGGAUUGUAAAGCACUUUAAGUUGGGAGGAAGGGUAUUCACCUAAUACGUGGGUACUUUGACGUUACCAACAGAAUAAGCACCGGCUAACUCUGUGCCAGCCGCCGCAGUAACAC